CAAGUCGCCGACACCCACAAAUGAACUCAGAUACCACCAUCAAAAGUAGGGUGGAGCUCUUGAAGAUGUCAGAUUUGAGAAGGGAAAAGGAGCGGAGCGGAAUGCGCGAGCUCUGCUUCCGGGCCUCCCCGAAACGCUUGCAGAAAGAUAGGUGCUUGGAUGGGAGUGGAUGUAGGAGCAGAGAGUGUUGCGAAGAGGGGAAGUAGUAUCAUCAUCUGCUGUGUUGCAGUAGUGAAGGGAUCAGACGUCGGUAUGGCAUCUGCUAGCCUGGGGAAUGGUGGAGUUGGCAGUUCAAGGUAUGUUAGACAAUAGAUAUGGCAUAAGUGAUAAGCCAUUUUCCCUCUCUGCAAGUGUUAACCUCACCUGUGUGGGAUUAUGAAAAGGAGGGGCUUUCUUUUGCUUUGCGUUGCAAGGGAUAGAGGGAGACUUAAUUUAUAUAUUAGCCUUAUGAGUUUACGGACCUUCUAAUAUUUCGUAGCGGGCCUGGAAGUGAUUUUCCGGGAACAGGAAAGGUAAUUGAGAUUAGUCUCUUAUUGGUUGAUCAUCCUCUAUAUAUUUGAUGAAGCUUCAACUGGCUUCUACUAGACAACCCCUCAUUUCUUUAUGGUAAUUGAGCUUCAUCUCUAAUUGUUUAUUGUCUGAUUAGAUUAUUAUAAUAUUUGGGUUGUUGGAUAUGUUGGAUUUGAAUUGAAUUUUUGUUUUCAUUUUUCAUGGUGAUGGAUUUUCGAAUGAAAUGCACUCAACCCUGAAUUCCAGUGGGGGUGGCUGAAGCAGCUGCCGGAUAUGACUUAUGGCAGCCAAGGGGAUCACUACAGUUUGGGAGUCAAAAUGACCACACUACCUUGUCAAGGGUUCAGAUCAUGCCGUCAGGUGAUAUGAGAGAGGGGGUUGGAUGGUAAUUUUGUCCAUAGGGUUUCGGACGGAUUGGGAUGGGUCAGGGACUUUGUUCAUUUAGUUUGUUUCUGAGAGAGAGAGAGAGGGGUGAGGAUGUCAGUGUCGAUCUUUGAUUCAGUGAGUGAGAGUGUGACGGUGAAAGAGAGGGGGAUCAUUGGGAUUUCAGGGAGAGAAACACAGAGAGAGAGGUGAUGGUGAACAAGCGCGAGUAUGGUCCCUUAGUCCGGGAGUCACUCUUCAUUGUCCAUACUGUAUUGCAUGCUCAGAUAAGUGUCUUUUUCAAUUACAUUUUGUACUAAAAUCUGUUUUUUUUUUUUAUUGUUUCUUGCAUUUAUAUCUGCGUGAAUAUGGUGAUUGAAAAGCCCAAAAAAAAAUUUCCAAAUUUUUUUGUACUGGUUUUGUUAGGUUAGGCAGCAUGGUUUUUGGUUAUUUUAUUGUGAUUUUUUUUAAUCGGUUGGGGGAUUUUCUGGGCGUCUAUUUAAUUGUUUGCCCUUUGGUUUUUUUCAUUCUGGGUUCCCCUCUUUCAUUAGAGAGUACAAAAUUUCCAAAGGUAAACAUCCUAUCCCUUGCUUCGCUUUUCUGUCCAUAGCCAAUAAUCGGUGAAAUAAGUGUGGUUCUUGGAUCUACGGUCUGAAACAAAAAAAUUUGUCUAUUCUCUGUGCCAGCUAAUGUAUCUAUGAUUUCUUUGCAGGACGCUACUGCAACGCUCAAGUCUGUUUGGAAAAUGGAGAGCACACAACUUAAGUAUCUCGGACCCAAGGUAAAAUGUAAUAAUCUCUGGCUCCCUUUACUAAUGUACGCUUGCAUGCACUAGAUCUGUGAAUUUAAAUUAUGCAUGUGCACUUUCUGUGCCAAAAGUUUUUAGAUCCGAAGCGGUCAUGAUGCUAAGUUAGGAAGGUUAAUUUUGUCCUAUGGUUUUGGGACGGAUUGGGAUGGGUCUAGGUGGCUGUCAUUCAAUGAGGGUUUGGUGAAUGAGAGCCAUGCCGCCUUUGCACAGAGAGAGAGGGAGGGAGUAGUAGGUUGUGUUUUAUUGUCUUCACUGCACCAUUAGUUUGAUUGCCUAUCCCUGUGUAUUUGAUUUUGUCUGGAAGAUGACUUCUAAUUCCUAUAAUAAUCAGAUACUCAAUCUUCAAUCCUGCUUAGUAGCAGCAAUCACCACCUGUUUCAUGAAAGGAGAACGAUUUAGAGCAAGUGACUCAAAAAGUUAAACUUCAAUAUCGAAAUUAAUGGAAACCCAUUGGUAUGAUUUCUUCAUCUGAAAUUUUUGAUUACCCAAUUGGUUGUUUCAUCAAUUAAUUGUGUGUAAACAUUUAUGUGUAAUUUUUUACUUCUUCCACUUAAAUGGUAAGAUCAAAUUAAGCUUAAGAACUUUGGGUUUUGUAAAUGUUGUGUAAUUGAAUUAUUCAUAUUGUCAAUUAAUUUUGAGCAAACAUUUAUGGGUAGUUGUUAAUUUCCCUCAAUAUUUGAUAAUAAUUAAACUAAAGCUGAGAACUUUGUAUUUUGUUCAUUACCUGACGUAGAUUUUACUUGACAGAGAAUGUACUUUCCUUGAUAUUAUUCAUGUUUUGUUUUCUUUCAUAUCGCAUUGUAAUGGGUCUCUUUGGAAAAACAAUUCUUAAGACCAAUUGUGAGGUUUGUUCUUACAUGGUACAUGAGUGUUUUUAUAAUUCUUUUGCACAGUUGUUAGUAUUUGUAGUUGUGAUUGGUGUUGUCCUACAUGUUUGACUUGAAGAAAUAAGACACUACUUUUGAUGAACCAUAUUGAGAGUGAAGGAAUCUCCUUUUGACCUGAUCAUGUUGGAGUACAUUUACACUAUGGAAAUUCAUGGACUCUUUUACUUGACCCUUUUUAUUUGUAUUUGUUAAUUACAUGACAAAGUUUUCGACCCGUCGCAUCGCGCGGGCAUGAAUCCUAGUUAUCUAUUCUAAAGUUGGAGGGGAAUUGGCACUGUUCAUGGCUACAGUCAAUUGUUUGCCCCUCAAUUUCACGCUAUUUACAACAAAAACCAUCAGAUCUGGGCUGGGUUGGGAAGGUAAUUCUUAAAAGUUAGGGGGUAAUUGUGUCCGUAGGUUUAGCCGAAUUUCACUUUAUUUACAAAAUUACCACCGCCUUUUCUUUCCGUCUUUCUCUCCCGACGCUCUCUCGAUAACCAUCCAUCAAAUCCCCCAUCCUCUCCUUUUCUCACUCUGAGCUCAUUUCCUAAAACCCUAGCACCGUUUCUCUCUCAGUUCCUAUCAAAUUCGAGAGAUUUCUCUCUCCAUUUCUCUCAACCUAGCCCCAGCGCUGCUCACCCCAUUCCUCUUCAUCAUCUCAGUUAAAUCCGUUGAACAAUCAACGAUGCACCUCCACACGACCCAUAUCGAAUUAUCCUCCUGCCCACGAACCAACCUCCAUUUCGUGGAUCCAUCAUCCUUGCAAGUCGCCGACACCCACAAAUGAACUCAGAUACCACCAUCAAAAGUAGGGUGGAGCUCUUGAAGAUGUCAGAUUUGAGAAGGGAAAAGGUAAAGUUUCGUACUUUAGUGUUUGAUCCUGAAGUAGAUUGAAUUUUCCCUCUCUCCGAUCCAAUUCUUCUCCUUCCCAAAUUUUCUGCUCAAAUCUAAAAAAUUCCAGGAGCGGAGCGGAAUGCGCGAGCUCUGCUUCCGGGCCUCCCCGAAACGCUUGCAGAUAGGUGCUUGGAUGGGAGUGGAUGUAGGAGCAGAGAGUGUUGCGAAGAGGGGAAGUAGUAUCAUCAUCUGCUGUGUUGCAGUAGUGAAGGGAUCAGACGUCGGUAUGGCAUCUGCUAGCCUGGGGAAUGGUGGAGUUGGCAGUUCAAGGUAUGUUAGACAAUAGAUAUGGCAUAAGUGAUAAGCCAUUUUCCCUCUCUGCAAGUGUUAACCUCACCUGUGUGGGAUUAUGAAAAGGAGGGGCUUUCUUUUGCUUUGCGUUGCAAGGGAUAGAGGGAGACUUAAUUUAUAUAUUAGCCUUAUGAGUUUACGGACCUUCUAAUAUUUCGUAGCGGGCCUGGAAGUGAUUUUCCGGGAACAGGAAAGGUAAUUGAGAUUAGUCUCUUAUUGGUUGAUCAUCCUCUAUAUAUUUGAUGAAGCUUCAACUGGCUUCUACUAGACAACCCCUCAUUUCUUUAUGGUAAUUGAGCUUCAUCUCUAAUUGUUUAUUGUCUGAUUAGAUUAUUAUAAUAUUUGGGUUGUUGGAUAUGUUGGAUUUGAAUUGAAUUUUUGUUUUCAUUUUUCAUGGUGAUGGAUUUUCGAAUGAAAUGCACUCAACCCUGAAUUCCAGUGGGGGUGGCUGAAGCAGCUGCCGGAUAUGACUUAUGGCAGCCAAGGGGAUCACUACAGUUUGGGAGUCAAAAUGACCACACUACCUUGUCAAGGGUUCAGAUCAUGCCGUCAGGUGAUAUGAGAGAGGGGGUUGGAUGGUAAUUUUGUCCAUAGGGUUUCGGACGGAUUGGGAUGGGUCAGGGACUUUGUUCAUUUAGUUUGUUUCUGAGAGAGAGAGAGAGGGGUGAGGAUGUCAGUGUCGAUCUUUGAUUCAGUGAGUGAGAGUGUGACGGUGAAAGAGAGGGGGAUCAUUGGGAUUUCAGGGAGAGAAACACAGAGAGAGAGGUGAUGGUGAACAAGCGCGAGUAUGGUCCCUUAGUCCGGGAGUCACUCUUCAUUGUCCAUACUGUAUUGCAUGCUCAGAUAAGUGUCUUUUUCAAUUACAUUUUGUACUAAAAUCUGUUUUUUUUUUUUAUUGUUUCUUGCAUUUAUAUCUGCGUGAAUAUGGUGAUUGAAAAGCCCAAAAAAAAAUUUCCAAAUUUUUUUGUACUGGUUUUGUUAGGUUAGGCAGCAUGGUUUUUGGUUAUUUUAUUGUGAUUUUUUUUAAUCGGUUGGGGGAUUUUCUGGGCGUCUAUUUAAUUGUUUGCCCUUUGGUUUUUUUCAUUCUGGGUUCCCCUCUUUCAUUAGAGAGUACAAAAUUUCCAAAGGUAAACAUCCUAUCCCUUGCUUCGCUUUUCUGUCCAUAGCCAAUAAUCGGUGAAAUAAGUGUGGUUCUUGGAUCUACGGUCUGAAACAAAAAAAUUUGUCUAUUCUCUGUGCCAGCUAAUGUAUCUAUGAUUUCUUUGCAGGACGCUACUGCAACGCUCAAGUCUGUUUGGAAAAUGGAGAGCACACAACUUAAGUAUCUCGGACCCAAGGUAAAAUGUAAUAAUCUCUGGCUCCCUUUACUAAUGUACGCUUGCAUGCACUAGAUCUGUGAAUUUAAAUUAUGCAUGUGCACUUUCUGUGCCAAAAGUUUUUAGAUCCGAAGCGGUCAUGAUGCUAAGUUAGGAAGGUUAAUUUUGUCCUAUGGUUUUGGGACGGAUUGGGAUGGGUCUAGGUGGCUGUCAUUCAAUGAGGGUUUGGUGAAUGAGAGCCAUGCCGCCUUUGCACAGAGAGAGAGGGAGGGAGUAGUAGGUUGUGUUUUAUUGUCUUCACUGCACCAUUAGUUUGAUUGCCUAUCCCUGUGUAUUUGAUUUUGUCUGGAAGAUGACUUCUAAUUCCUAUAAUAAUCAGAUACUCAAUCUUCAAUCCUGCUUAGUAGCAGCAAUCACCACCUGUUUCAUGAAAGGAGAACGAUUUAGAGCAAGUGACUCAAAAAGUUAAACUUCAAUAUCGAAAUUAAUGGAAACCCAUUGGUAUGAUUUCUUCAUCUGAAAUUUUUGAUUACCCAAUUGGUUGUUUCAUCAAUUAAUUGUGUGUAAACAUUUAUGUGUAAUUUUUUACUUCUUCCACUUAAAUGGUAAGAUCAAAUUAAGCUUAAGAACUUUGGGUUUUGUAAAUGUUGUGUAAUUGAAUUAUUCAUAUUGUCAAUUAAUUUUGAGCAAACAUUUAUGGGUAGUUGUUAAUUUCCCUCAAUAUUUGAUAAUAAUUAAACUAAAGCUGAGAACUUUGUAUUUUGUUCAUUACCUGACGUAGAUUUUACUUGACAGAGAAUGUACUUUCCUUGAUAUUAUUCAUGUUUUGUUUUCUUUCAUAUCGCAUUGUAAUGGGUCUCUUUGGAAAAACAAUUCUUAAGACCAAUUGUGAGGUUUGUUCUUACAUGGUACAUGAGUGUUUUUAUAAUUCUUUUGCACAGUUGUUAGUAUUUGUAGUUGUGAUUGGUGUUGUCCUACAUGUUUGACUUGAAGAAAUAAGACACUACUUUUGAUGAACCA